AGCGAACGCUGGCGGCAGGCUUAACACAUGCAAGUCGAGCGGGCAUCCUUGUGGUGUCAGCGGCAGACGGGUGAGUAACGCGUGGGAACGUGCCCUUCGGUUCGGAAUAACUCAGGGAAACUUGAGCUAAUACCGGAUACGUGCGAGAGCAGAAAGGUUUAUCUGCCGAAGGAUCGGCCCGCGUCUGGUUAGCUCGUUGGUGAGGUUAUGGCUCACCAAGGCGACGAUCAGUAGCUGGUCUGAGAGGAUGAGCAGCCACACUGGGACUGAGACACGGCCCAGACUCCUACGGGAGGCAGCAGUGGGGAAUAUUGGACAAUGGGGGCAACCCUGAUCCAGCCAUGCCGCGUGAGUGAUGACGGCCUUAGGGUUGUAAAGCUCUUUUCUCCGGGACGAUAAUGACGGUACCGGAGGAAUAAGCCCCGGCUAACUUCGUG
rnacentral:rRNA from 1 species